AUGGGGAUGAGGCAAAGCCGGAUCCGGGCGUGUCCCCCCUGGGGGAGCCUGAGGUUCUUCCAGAAGGGGCUGAGCUUCCGGAUACAGCUCCAGGUGCUGAGGUCCCAGCGUGUACUCGGUGUCACCACCAUCGCUGCUGAUCCCUUCCGGGCGGCCGUGACCCUGCUGGAGUCCGGGGGGGACCUCCAGCCCCCCGGGGGGUCUCUGCGCCUCCUCUGCCGAGGGGAUGGAUUUGAUUUUGGGAAUUUCGUGAUGUUCUGGAUCCGCCAGAGACCCAGGAAGGCGCUGGAAUACGUCGCAGGGAUCAGCAGCGGUGGUGGCACCACGCUCUACGCGCCAUCGGUGCGUGGCCGGUUCAGGAUCUCCAGGGACAACGGGCAGAGCUCGGUGACGCUGAGCAUGAACAACCUCCAGGACGAGGAUUCCGGGGUUUAUUUCUGUGCCAAAAAA